rnacentral:rRNA from 1 species
ACGGAAGGCAGCAGUGAGGAAUAUUGGUCAAUGGACGGAAGUCUGAACCAGCCAAGUCGCGUGAAGGAAGACGGUUCUAUGGAUUGUAAACUUCUUUUGUCCGAGGGUAAAGUGGGAGAUGCGUCUCUUAUUGCAAGUAUCGGACGAAUAAGCAUCGGCUAACUCCGUGCCAGCAGCCGCGGUAAUACGGAGGAUGCGAGCGUUAUCCGGAUUUAUUGGGUUUAAAGGGUGCGUAGGCGGGUGAUUAAGUCAGUGGUGAAAGCGUGCGGCUCAACCGUACCGAGCCAUUGAAACUGGUUAUCUUGAGUGUAAACGAGGUAGGCGGAAUGUGACAUGUAGCGGUGAAAUGCUUAGAUAUGUCACAGAACUCCGAUUGCGAAGGCAGCUUACCAGCAUACGACUGACGCUGAGGCACGAAAGCGUGGGUAUCAAACAGGAUUAGAUACCCUGGUA